rnacentral:sRNA from 1 species
AGGUGUUUUAGUAGUAGUGGUGCAGUAUUCUAGUCAAUUAACCUAGUUUGGAAGGCGGGGCUAAAAAUCCGUUGAAGGGCACAUCGAUGAAGUUCCUGGUUUUGGCUGCCGACGCCCAGUUGGGGGUUAUUUCUGGGAGUAAAGAGAUGGGGGCGAUCCACAAUGGCAUGUGGGCGAUGACCCUCCCUCUGUGGAGACUACCUUAGAAACAUUGUUUUAAAAGUGGGAGAAACCUGCAGAAUAUGAAAGACAUAAACUGUAGUGUAGCCUGCCUUGAGUGGCAUAGGUGGAUAAGUAGAUCAGUUUCUUGAAAUCAGGGCCCGACGGAGAGGAUCAUCGCUAUUUGAAACCUAUGCUGCAAAAGAGGCUAAGAGUUAGCUUAAUUGCUGAGGAAAACUCCUAGACUGUUCUUUUCUAGAAGUAUAUUAAGGAUUACAGUGCGGACUAAGUGGUAAUCCAGUCCUAUCUCUGGCGACAAGAUAGAUAUCAUUUUAAAGGGAAACCGCUACUUUGGCGACAGGUAGUAGUGAUUUGGGAAAUCCAACUGGACCUAAGCCGUAAGAUUUACUUAGUAUACUACCACUACUAUCAGCUGAUAG